rnacentral:rRNA from 1 species
UACGUAGGGUCCAAGCGUUGUCCGGAUUUAUUGGGCGUAAAGAGCUCGUAGGCGGCUUAGUAAGUCGGAUGUGAAAACUCGGGGCCUCAACCCCGAGACGCCAUCCGAUACUGCUGUGGCUUGAGUCUGGCAGGGGGAGAACGGAAUUCCUGGUGUAGCGGUGAAAUGCGCAGAUAUCAGGAGGAACACCGAUGGCGAAGGCAG